CUGUACUUUGAGAUCCCCUUGCCUUGUUGUGUAAACAGUUUGUACACCUGAACCAAUGGUGUGUUCUAGUUCAGUGGCCACAGCGUGGAAGAGACAUGACUGCAAGAGAGAGCAGGGGAAAGUCCCGAACUCCAAGGAACAUUCUGUUUAAAAACAACAAUCCUGAUUCCCCCAGGUGAUGUCAAGAGAAACCUUCAGAAAAAUGAUAGAGGGAGUCCAGAAGGCCACGACUUCUGCUUGGGGGUUGUUACUGAGGUCGUCAUCUUACCUGCUCUUCUUGUUGAGAUGUGCCCUGUUCUGAGGGAAUGGCCUGAUCCUGAUUUGGCUACAUAGACUUGGCUUCUCAGAGGUGCUGGGCGUCCACACGGUGCAGCCUGGUGCCAGCACACGAGAACUUUGCAGGAGCCCUGGGAUGGGCAUCUCCCUCUGUCUACACGGCCGGUCUGAGCUCCGGGCUGGGAUCUAACUACUUUCCUGCCACUGGCAUUUCCUUCCCAUGACAUGGCCUCUACUCUGGGGAAAAGGAUCUAUGAUUUCCAAAGCAAUUUUAUUUUUGGCUUCUGGUGCUGCACCUGACACGUGAGAGUGGUAUUAGAUGGGGGACCACACUUGUUCACCAGGAUGGAGCCUCCUGUUUCAUUUCACACCCCCUUCACACAGCCUCCUGCAACUGCUGAUUGUAUCUGGCCGGUACCCACAGGGCUGGAUUCUGGCCAAAGGGAGGAGACGCCCAGCACCAAGACCCCGAGGCAUCCUUUACUAUCCCUUUCUCAAACCCCAGAGCCACGCCAUUCCCAUGUCAUAAAACUUCUGAAGCGGGCACUGAAGCCAAGAGGGGCGGCGCUGACUCAAGCCGAGCCCUCGCCCUCCCCGGCUCCUCAGCCACAGGCUGGGCCAACAUCUCAAAGCAGCUCAAGAUGGUCCCAAGAGCGGCGAAGGCCUCCCAGGGCUCCACCGGGUGCCAGGCCAGAGGAAAGCGGGACAGGGGCGGGGGCCAAGGGCUGGAGACCCCACGGUGUUUCAUGGCACAGCGACACCAGCUCAGAGGCAGAUGGCCGUGGAGGAGCAGCCUGUGACAGAGAGAGGGUGCGGGCUCUGUGAGUCACGCCGGCAGGUGUGUUAUUAUCGAAGUGAUGUAGGGGUCUGGAAUGUGACUUAGAAGGCAGUAAGGAGACAUUAUCCAUAAACACAUUAACUGCUUCAAGUAAACGGCACUAAAAAGUGAAGGCAGCCCCAUUCUUGUGAAAUCUCUGCUCUCAGGCCAUGAAUGAGCAAAUAUAAGUGGUGCGUAAGCAGAGUAAGUGACACGGGCAGGCUGCCAUUUCUUUCUAGAGGAAGCCAGACGUUUGUUCCUUACUCUCUGCACUGCUCCCCGGCCCUGUCCCCCGACAUGAUUCCCAUGACCAUUUGAAACAGCCUUUCUGUACGUGAUAUCCUGUUAGUUCUUAAGAAAAUCUGACUCUUUCUUGCCAUCCUGACCCAGGAAGUAAAGCCUUCCCCUUUCUUGAAGUAUUACUAUUUGACUUCACGCUAGAGGGCAAGAGAGCUGUCACACUAGAAGGCAAGGGGUCCCCUAUUUGUUCCUGUCUUUCAGGCUCACAAAGGAUGUGUUUACAACCCACUGUGCACGUGCACAGAGCUCCUCCAGCUGGGGCCCUGGACAGUGAUCAAUGGCGGUCACUUCCAGCCUUCCAAUUGCUGACUGUAAUCCGAGACGCAGAAUGACCGUCUUCCAGGCUCGCUUCCACCAGCAACGUAGCUGCCGACGCCCCAGACCAGGCUCUUCUGAGCUCCAUGAGCCUGUCUCCAUCUGCCAACCCAGCAGCCUCACCUGAGUGCCCCUCAGGCAUCUCAGGGAGCAUUUUAUCAUCACCAAGAUCACCUCGGCAAAGACAGACUCAGGGGGCAGCCCUGACCAACGAGACCCAUAAGUCGAUGGUGACCUGUUCCAAUUUCCACAUCGUGUGUGUUCCACCUUCUGCUUCCCUGUCUGGGGAAUUAGGAUAGUUUACAAUUUGAAACUUGCUUCACCUUGUUUCCACUUGACUUUUUCCUUUUAAUAGUAUUAUUAUCAUCAGUAAUAAUACUAAUAGUACCUAUAUUUGCCCAUACUCGUGACUUUUUCAGUCCCUCUAGAUGUUGCAUAUUAUUUCAUUAUUAUUGUUUCAUGAUAACUUUAUAGGCAGUUGGUUUAUUUUGAGCAAAUUCAGUAUGCUAUUAAAGAGUAUCAAUACCCAUCUUUAGGUUGUAAUUUACUCAGUCUUCAUACAAAAGACAUUAGAUGCUGUCUUCAUACAUUAGCUCAAACUUUGGCUGAUGUCUGAUAUAAGAGAUUAGUUUUUCCCAGACAUAACUUUUUGCUUAACUAAAGGCUUUUUUCCUGAUUGGGAGAAAGGAGGAAAAAACUGACAUUUAUUGAAGCCUGAUAUAUAGCAGGCACCUUUUCAUAGCUGAUCUCACAGAGUUGUCCACUGGUCCUAAGAGACAGCUCUUAGUCCGUAUUAUAGACAGGAACGUGGGAAUAUUGCCCAAGGUCGCAGAGCUAAUAUGUGGCAGAUCCAGAAUUCAAAGUCUGGCUCAAAACAUUCCCAAAACGAGCCUGAAUUUCUGAUGUUAAAUGCAAGACUCUUAGAAUCUCAAAGCUAUAAGUAAGUAUUCAGCACUGAUAAGACUAAAUAAAUCAUAUGAAACCUAGUCAUAAAGACAGAGUCCAUAGGUCAGAAAUAAUCUUGUAAAAAAAAACCUGCACAGAAAAUUCAACUUGUAAACUUAAUUACUUGGUAGGGACACUUGAUUUUCAAUUACAUCACCUAAAGGAUAAC
rnacentral:lncRNA from 1 species